rnacentral:tRNA from 1 species
GAUCCUUUAGCUCAGCGGUAGAGCGUGUGAUUCCAGCGGCUUGCAAAAGCUUGGUAUCUCCACAAGGUCGUCCGUUCAAUCCGGGCAAGGAUCA